rnacentral:rRNA from 1 species
CAGUCGAACGAACUCUGGUAUUGAUUGGUGCUUGCAUCAUGAUUUACAUUUGAGUGAGUGGCGAACUGGUGAGUAACACGUGGGAAACCUGCCCAGAAGCGGGGGAUAACACCUGGAAACAGAUGCUAAUACCGCAUAACAACUUGGACCGCAUGGUCCGAGCUUGAAAGAUGGCUUCGGCUAUCACUUUUGGAUGGUCCCGCGGCGUAUUAGCUAGAUGGUGGGGUAACGGCUCACCAUGGCAAUGAUACGUAGCCGACCUGAGAGGGUAAUCGGCCACAUUGGGACUGAGACACGGCCCAAACUCCUACGGGAGGCAGCAGUAGGGAAUCUUCCACAAUGGACGAAAGUCUGAUGGAGCAACGCCGCGUGAGUGAAGAAGGGUUUCGGCUCGUAAAACUCUGUUGUUAAAGAAGAACAUAUCUGAGAGUAACUGUUCAGGUAUUGACGGUAUUUAACCAGAAAGCCACGGCUAACUACGUGCCAGCAGCCGCGGUAAUACGUAGGUGGCAAGCGUUGUCCGGAUUUAUUGGGCGUAAAGCGAGCGCAGGCGGUUUUUUAAGUCUGAUGUGAAAGCCUUCGGCUCAACCGAAGAAGUGCAUCGGAAACUGGGAAACUUGAGUGCAGAAGAGGACAGUGGAACUCCAUGUGUAGCGGUGAAAUGCGUAGAUAUAUGGAAGAACACCAGUGGCGAAGGCGGCUGUCUGGUCUGUAACUGACGCUGAGGCUCGAAAGUAUGGGUAGCAAACAGGAUUAGAUACCCUGGUAGUCCAUACCGUAAACGAUGAAUGCUAAGUGUUGGAGGGUUUCCGCCCUUCAGUGCUGCAGCUAACGCAUUAAGCAUUCCGCCUGGGGAGUACGGCCGCAAGGCUGAAACUCAAAGGAAUUGACGGGGGCCCGCACAAGCGGUGGAGCAUGUGGUUUAAUUCGAAGCUACGCGAAGAACCUUACCAGGUCUUGACAUACUAUGCAAAUCUAAGAGAUUAGACGUUCCCUUCGGGGACAUGGAUACAGGUGGUGCAUGGUUGUCGUCAGCUCGUGUCGUGAGAUGUUGGGUUAAGUCCCGCAACGAGCGCAACCCUUAUUAUCAGUUGCCAGCAUUAAGUUGGGCACUCUGGUGAGACUGCCGGUGACAAACCGGAGGAAGGUGGGGAUGACGUCAAAUCAUCAUGCCCCUUAUGACCUGGGCUACACACGUGCUACAAUGGAUGGUACAACGAGUUGCGAACUCGCGAGAGUAAGCUAAUCUCUUAAAGCCAUUCUCAGUUCGGAUUGUAGGCUGCAACUCGCCUA